rnacentral:rRNA from 2 species
UACGAAGGGGACUAGCGUUGUUCGGAAUCACUGGGCGUAAAGCGCACGUAGGCGGAUAUGUCAGUCAGGGGUGAAAUCCCGGGGCUCAACCUCGGAACUGCCUUUGAUACAGCAUAUCUUGAGUCCGAUAGAGGUGGGUGGAAUUCCUAGUGUAGAGGUGAAAUUCGUAGAUAUUAGGAAGAACACCGGUGGCGAAGGCGGCCCACUGGAUCGGUACUGACGCUGAGGUGCGAAAGCGUGGGGAGCAAACAGG